rnacentral:rRNA from 1 species
CUGGCGGCAUGCCUAAGACAUGCAAGUCGAACGAGGUGGCCCAUAGAAGAUGGAGUGCUUGCACAAAGUUGGAAAUGGAUCUCACCUAGUGGCAGACGGGUGAGUAACACGUGGGUGACCUACCUUUAAGCUGGGGAUAACAGUUUGGAAACGAUUGCUAAUACCGAAUAAUGUAUAGUUGUCAAGAUUAUACUGAAAGGAGCCUUUAAAGCUUCACUUAGAGAUGGGCCUGCGGCGUAUUAACUAGUUGGUGGGGUAAUGGCCUACCAAGGUGACGAUGCGUAGCCGAACUGAGAGGUUGAUCGGCCACACUGGGACUGAGACACGGCCCAGACUCCUACGGGAGACAGCAGUUAGGGAUAUUCGUCAAUGGGGAAACCCUGAACGAGCAAUGCCGCGUGAGUGAUGAAGGUCUUUGGAUUGUAAAACUCUGUUGUAUGGAAAACUACUAGGUUAGGAAAUGAACUUAGUUUGAUGGUACCAUACCAGAAAGCCCGGCUAACUACGUGCC